CUAUUAGGGCAUAAGACGAUGACAAGGCCUCGUGAUGCCUGGCACUAUCCUGUAUAUGUGGUGGGAGUGUCCACUAAUACACCCAUUUUGCAUUAGUAUCCACACAAUUUCCUGACACCCUGCUGUCUAUGGAGCUGGUGUUUUAUUAAAGUCCCCUACCCUCGUCACUUCCGGUAAGGGGAAUCAGCUGGAGCCUGUGCUGUGCAUGUGUGCUAGCAUUCCAGACAGGGUAGGGAAACCUGAUAGAGGCUCUGAGCAUGUCCAGGGAACUCCUCCACAGCAUGGUCCUGGAAAGGAAAUAAAGCUAGUUUUACACUUUCAUUAUAGUUAGUGCAUUC